CGACAAGCAUAUUAUUUUCGUGAAAAAUAACAAAGAAAUGAAUUUCUCUAUAAAUAAUUAUGUUUGAUUAUUUCAUCUAAUCACAAGCUCUGAUUCUUUGUGUUAUUGUAUAAGUGUGUGUAUGUGUUGUUGUAAGUUGUUAGUGAUAAGUUGGUUGCAGUUUGUAGAGAGGAGAAAGACUUGAAGUGGGAAAUAUAAUUACUGUAUGUCAGUGGAAUAUUACAGUGGAAUAUUUUAUCACGUUGAGCUUGAUAAUCCUUUGCAAUGGCCACAGUUGAGGAAAAAACGACGCCACCUUGUUGUUCCCUUCAAAAUAACAACAAAUCUGCUGCAGCUGCAUCUUCUACCGUUGAUUCCCGCUCUGAUCCUCCUCCUAAAUCACCUUCUGCCAAAGAAAUAAAAGAUAGAAAAAAAACCAUUUCUUUUGACAUAGGUAUUACUGUAAUGGCGAAAGCUCAAACUUGCCAUCCUUUGGAUCCACUUUCUGCUGCUGAAAUAUCGGUAGCUAUAGCAACUGUUCGAGCAGCCGGAGCAACACCUGAGGUGAGGGAUAGCAUGCGGUUCAUUGAAGUAGACAUGGUAGAACCUGAAAAGCAUGUUGUUGCAUUAGCAGAUGCAUACUUCUUCCCUCCUUUCCAACCCUCACUUCUCCCGAGGACGAAAGGCGGGCCUGUGAUUCCAUCAAAACUGCCUCCAAGGAAAGCAAGAUUGGUUGUCUAUAAUAAGAAGUCGAACGAGACAAGCAUAUGGAUCGUUGAGCUUACAGAAGUUCAUGCAACAACUCGCGGAGGACAUCAUAGAGGCAAAGUGAUUUCUUCUACAAUUGUUCCAGAUGUUCAGCCUCCAAUGGAUGCGGUGGAGUAUGCUGAAUGUGAAGCUGUUGUAAAGAACUAUCCUCCAUUUCAAGAAGCAAUGAAGAAGAGAGGAAUUGAAGAUAUGGAUCUUGUGAUGGUGGAUCCAUGGUGUGCUGGAUAUGACAGUGAAGCCGAUGCUCCGAGCCGCAGACUUGCUAAACCAUUAUUCUUUUGUAGGACUGAGAGUGACUGUCCUAUGGAAAAUGGUUAUGCUCGUCCGGUCGAAGGAAUACAUGUACUCGUUGACAUGCAAAAUAUGGUUGUCCUUGAGUUCGAGGAUCGUAAGCUUGUCCCUCUUCCACCUGCUGAUCCACUAAGAAAUUAUACUUCCGGUGAAACUCGGGGAGGAGUUGACCGAAGUGAUGUGAAACCUUUACAGAUUAUUCAGCCAGACGGUCCCAGUUUUCGUGUCAAUGGACACUUCAUUCAAUGGCAGAAGUGGAAUUUUCGUAUUGGAUUCACUCCUAGGGAGGGUUUGAUUAUUUACUCAGUAGCGUAUAUUGAUGGAAGUCGCGGCCGAAGGCCUGUGGCUCAUAGAUUGAGUUUUGUUGAGAUGGUUGUCCCUUAUGGAGAUCCAAAUGAUCCUCACUAUAGGAAAAAUGCUUUUGAUGCUGGAGAAGAUGGCCUUGGUAAAAAUGCUCAUUCACUCAAGAAGGGUUGUGAUUGUUUAGGCUAUAUCAAGUACUUUGAUGCACACUUUACAAAUUUUUACGGAAGUGUUGAAACAAUUGAGAAUUGUGUUUGCUUGCAUGAAGAAGAUCAUGGUAUGUUAUGGAAGCAUCAAGAUUGGAGAACAGGUUUGGCUGAAGUUCGACGAUCUCGAAGGCUGACAGUGUCUUUUAUAUGCACUGUGGCUAACUAUGAGUAUGGUUUUUACUGGCACUUUUAUCAGGAUGGAAAAAUAGAAGCUGAGGUCAAGCUCACAGGAAUUCUCAGCUUAGGUGCAUUGCAGCAAGGCGAAACUCGAAAAUAUGGCACAACUAUUGCACCUGGAUUAUACGCGCCUGUCCACCAACACUUUUUUGUUGCUCGUAUGGACAUGGCGGUUGAUUGCAAGCCCGGCGAAGCAUUUAAUCAGGUUGUUGAGGUGAAUGUCAAAAUUGAAGAGCCAGGAAAGAAUAAUGUUCACAACAAUGCAUUUUAUGCCGAGGAAAAACCGCUUAAAUCAGAAUUAGAAGCAAUGCGUGAUUGCGACCCUUUAUCUGCUCGUCAUUGGAUUCAGGGACAAUCUGUAAAUUUUCAAAUCUGGCUGCUGUUCUAUGCUUCUUCUGUUCUGUUAGGAACACGAGGAGUGUGAACCGUACCGGGUAUCUAACCGGUUACAAACUAGUUCCUGGUGCAAAUUGUUUACCUUUAGCUGGAUCAGAGGCUAAGUUUUUACGAAGAGCAGCUUUCUUGAAGCACAAUCUUUGGGUUACUCCUUAUGCACGCGGCGAAAUGUAUCCUGGAGGAGAGUUCCCUAAUCAAAAUCCUCGCGAUGGAGAGGGUUUGGCUACUUGGGUUAAGCAAAAUCGACCGUUGGAAGAAGCUGAUGUAGUCCUCUGGUACGUAUUUGGAGUGACACACAUUCCUCGAUUGGAAGACUGGCCUGUUAUGCCUGUGGAGCACAUUGGCUUUAUGCUUAUGCCACAUGGGUUUUUCAAUUGCUCACCAGCAGUAGAUGUUCCACCAAGCCCAAGUGAUUUGGAUGAUAAGGAGAAUGGCAUGCCUGCAAAGCCUAGUCAGAAUGGGCUAAUUGCCAAGCUUUAAAAGGCCCAAAAGCAGAUAUACUCCGGCCCAUUCAGCCUCUUCAGUGGUUGAGUUCAUCACAUGAAUAAGUUGUUCAAAUUAAAAAAAUAACAUUCAAAAAACUACAUGUUAAUUAAUCAAUGGUGGUGUGUAACCUUGUUAUUCAAAAAUAGGCUAUUGUGUAAUUUGUGUGUCAUGUGUUAAUAAAAUUUAUGUAUAUAUUCGAAGCUAAAUAUUUCUUCAAAAAACCCAUUUUUUUGCA